UCCCUAGUGGCUCAGAUGGUAAAGCAUCUGCCUGCAAUACAGGAGACCUGGGUUCAAUCCCUGGGUCAGGAA
rnacentral:tRNA from 1 species